rnacentral:rRNA from 1 species
UACGUAGGGGCCUAGCGUUGUCCGGAAUUAUUGGGCGUAAAGAGCUCGUAGGCGGUUCGGCAAGUCGGAUGUGAAAUCUCCACGCUUAACGUGGAGGGGCCAUUCGAAACUGCUGUGACUAGAGUGCGGGUAGGGAGAUUGGAAUUCCUGGUGUAGGCGGUGGAAUGCGCAGAUAUCGAGGAGAACACCAAUGGCGAAGGCAGAUCUGCUGGCGUAACUGACGCGUGAGGAAGCGAAAGCAUGG